rnacentral:rRNA from 1 species
UACAGAGGUGGCAAGCGUUGUUCGGAAUUACUGGGCGUAAAGGGCGCGUAGGCGGCCUUCUAAGUCAGACGUGAAAUCCCCCGGCUUAACCUGGGAACUGCGUCUGAUACUGGAAGGCUUGAGUGCGGGAGAGGGAUGUGGAAUUCCAGGUGUAGCGGUGAAAUGCGUAGAUAUCUGGAGGAACACCGGUGGCGAAGGCGGCAUCCUGGACCGACACUGACACUGAGGAGCGAAAGCCAGGGGAGCAAACGGG